rnacentral:rRNA from 1 species
AUUGAACGCUGGCGGCAUGCCUUACACAUGCAAGUCGAACGGCAGCACGGGAGCAAUCCUGGUGGCGAGUGGCGAACGGGUGAGUAAUACAUCGGAACGUGCCCUGUAGUGGGGGAUAACUAGUCGAAAGACUAGCUAAUACCGCAUACGACCUGAGGGUGAAAGUGGGGGACCGCAAGGCCUCAUGCUAUAGGAGCGGCCGAUGUCUGAUUAGCUAGUUGGUGGGGUAAAGGCCUACCAAGGCGACGAUCAGUAGCUGGUCUGAGAGGACGAUCAGCCACACUGGGACUGAGACACGGCCCAGACUCCGACGGGAGGCAGCAGUGGGGAAUUUUGGACAAUGGGAGCAACCCUGAUCCAGCAAUGCCGCGUGUGUGAAGAAGGCCUUCGGGUUGUAAAGCACUUUUGUCCGGAAAGAAAUCGCUUCGGUUAAUACCUGGAGUGGAUGACGGUACCGGAAGAAUAAGGACCGGCUAACUACGUGCCAGCCGCCGCCGUAAAAC